rnacentral:tRNA from 1 species
GUUAUUUUGGCAGAAUAGUGCAUUGGAUUUAGAUACCAAUAAUGUAGUUUUACAAAUAAUA